rnacentral:rRNA from 1 species
GAUCCUGGCUCAGGACGAACGCUUGCGGCGUGCCUAACAAAUGCAAGUCGAGCGGGGGUAGCAAUACCCCAGCGGCGAACGGUCGCGUAACACGUAAGCAACCUGCCGAAAAGACCGGGACAACUCUCCGAAAGGGGGGCUAAUACCGGAUGUGGCCACCGGGGGGCAUCUUCUGGUGAUUAAAGCAUUUGCAUGGCUUUUCGAGGGGCUUGCGGCCUAUCAGCUAGUUGGUGGGGUAACGGCCUACCAAGGCGACGACGGGUAGCUGGUCUGAGAGGACGGCCAGCCGGACUGGGACUGAGACACGGCCCAGACUCCUACGGGGGGCAGCAAUUAGGAAUCUUGCGCAAUGGGGGGAACCCUGACGCAGCGACGCCGCGUGGAGGAGGAAGUCCUUCGGGAUGUAAACUCCUUUUGGGUGGGAAGAAGGAAGUGACGGUACCACCUGAAUAAGCCCCGGCUAACUACGUGCCAGCAGCCGCGGUAAUACGUAGGGGGCGAGCGUUGUCCGAAGUUACUGGGCGUAAAGCGCGCGUAGGCGGGUCUGUAAGUCGGCUGUGAAAGCCCGGGGCUCAACCCCGGAGGGUCGGCCGAUACUAUGGGUCUUGAGGGCGGCAGGGAGAAGUGGAAUGGCUGGUGUAGCGGUGAAAUGCGUAGAUAUGAGUCGGAACACCGGUGGCUAAGGCGGCUUCUUGGGCCGUUCCUAACGCUGAGGCGCGAAAGCUGGGGGAGCUAACGGGAUUAGAUACCCCGGUAGUCCCAGCCGUAAACGAUGGAUACUAGGUGUC